UGCCCUCAGUGGAAGAGUUGACCUCUUCUCCAACACCAUCUAUGAUGAGCCUGUCCUGCACUGAAGCCUACAGUAUAUCCACACCUCCACUAAAGUCAAGCCUCUGAACACCUCAACUCAUCCUAUCACUGCUGUAAUCCCGUCCCAACACUGACAUACUGUGAGGACAAGCAGAGUUUCCUGCAAGACCGUGAGGAUGAUGGAGAUACGGCAGCAGGAGGACAAUUGCUUCACUUACUACAGAUCCUGGAUGUGCAGAAGGUGGUUGUGUCGCUGGUAUGGAGGGAUUCUGCUGGGUCCAGACCAUUUCAAACACAUCAACAACUCUGCCAGAAACAUCCUGGUCCAGGAGGGAUACACAUCCUCUGCAGUGUCGCCCACCUUUGACCCCUGCCUGUACUGACUCCGAGCCCGUCUGCCUGACCACUCUGCCUGCCCCUGACCCUGAGCCUGACUGCCGCCCGUACCGUUGCCCCACCUCUGGUUUACUGACCCCUGCCUACCUUGACCUGUCUA